rnacentral:rRNA from 1 species
AUUGAACGCUGGCGGCAGGCCUAACACAUGCAAGUCGAGCGGAUGAAGGGAGCUUGCUCCUGGAUUCAGCGGCGGACGGGUGAGUAAUGCCUAGGAAUCUGCCUGGUAGUGGGGGAUAACGUCCGGAAACGGGCGCUAAUACCGCAUAUGCCCUGAGGGAGAAAGUGGGGGAUCUUCGGACCUCACGCUAUCAGAUGAGCCUAGGUCGGAUUAGCUAGUUGGUGGGGUAAAGGCCUACCAAGGCGACGAUCCGUAACUGGUCUGAGAGGAUGAUCAGUCACACUGGAACUGAGACACGGUCCAGACUCCUACGGGAGGCAGCAGUGGGGAAUAUUGGACAAAGGGCGAAAGCCUGAUCCAGCCAUGCCGCGUGUGUGAAGAAGGUCUUCGGAUUGUAAAGCACUUUAAGUUGGGAGGAAGGGCAGUAAGUUAAUACCUUGCUGUUUUGACGUUACCAACAGAAUAAGCACCGGCUAACUUCGUG